AGCUGGGAUAAGAGGACAAGUCAGUGGUCUAUUCAGAUACAAGCAUAAAUAUUAACGUUCAUAAAGAACAUUUGUUUGGCCUGCAGAAAUAAUUCCAGAAAUUCAAAUGCAAACGAAUGCUACUGUGGCAUUCAACAUGAUGAAGGCAUUUAGAGAAAACAAGAGUAACUGCCACAACAGAGCCCGGACAUUCUCUUCCAAAUCCUAAAUCCAAUAUGUAACGAAACACGAUGAACAUCCAGAGCAUAAUUGCAUUAGACGUAAGCAUGCGCACAAAUAUCAUGAAGGGUAGAAGCAUUUACAGCUUUGAGAUCAUAUGUUUGGCAGAAAACACCAAAGCAUUCAGACUUGCUUUUGGCUUCUUCAGUCUGAACUGCAACUGGGGCUGGAACUUGACUGCUCAAAGAAGAAAGAAACACGGUAAAAGGAAGUCAACUAAUUAUGCGUGCAUCAAGAAAGAAGAGAGAAAGAGAGAGGAGCUUAAUUACUUGACAGAGCAAGUGAUCUUGAAGUUUUGGGCUCGAGGGUUAGGUCUAGGCGAGCGACUAAAGUGAACAGAGAGACGGGUUGAUGAGAGAGAAAGCUGUGGAGAGUGUAAGCGACUGCUUGUCUUUGUAUAUGUAGAAGUAACAGGGGAUGUGGUUAGGUCAGCCACAGACAUGGUAGCAGUGAAGAAAAUAAGCUUAGAAAAAAACCAGAUA